rnacentral:rRNA from 1 species
GUGCCAGCAGCUGCGGUAAUACGGAGGGUGCAAGCGUUAAUCGGAAUUACUGGGCGUAAAGCGCACGCAGGCGGUCUGUCAAGUCGGAUGUGAAAUCCCCGGGCUCAACCUGGGAACUGCAUUCGAAAACUGGCAGGCUAGAGUCUUGUAGAGGGGGGUAGAAUUCCAGGUGUAGCGGUGAAAUGCGUAGAGAUCUGGAGGAAUACCGGUGGCGAAGGCGGCCCCCUGGACAAAAGACUGACGCUCAGGUGCGAAAGCGUGGGGAGCAAACAGGAUUAGAUACCCUGGUAGUCCACGCCGUAAACGAUGUCGACUUGGAGGUUGUGCCCUUGAGCGUGCUUCCGGAGCUAACGCGUUAAGCGACCGCCUGGGGGAUACGGCCGCAAAGGUUAAAACUCAAAAUGAAUU